rnacentral:tRNA from 1 species
GGGCGGGUAGAUCAGCUCGGAAGAUCGCCUGCUUUGCAAGCAGGAAGCCCCGGGUUCAAAUCCCGGCCCGUCCA